GACGGAGGGUGCAAGCGUUGUUCGGAUUGACUGGGCGUAAAGGGCGUGUAGGCGGUUGGUCAAGUCUGGUGUGAAAGCCCGGGGCUCAACCCCGGAAGUGCAUUGGAAACUAGCCAGCUAGAGCGCGAGAGAGGAGGGUGGAAUUCCUGGUGUAGCGGUGAAAUGCGUAGAUAUCAGGAGGAACACCGGCGGCGAAGGCGGCCCUCUGGCUCGUUGCUGACGCUGAAACGCGAAAGCGUGGGGAGCAAACAGGAUUAGAUACCCUGGUAGUCCACGCUGUAAACGAUGGGUACUAGGUGUUCGGGGUAUUGACCCCCUGAGUGCCGCCGCUAACGCAUUAAGUACCCCGCCUGGGGACUACGGCCGCAAGGUUAAAACUCAAAG
rnacentral:rRNA from 1 species